rnacentral:rRNA from 1 species
UAGGGAAUUUUCCACAAUGGGCGAAAGCCUGAUGGAGCAACGCCGCGUGCAGGAUGAAGGCCUUCGGGUUGUAAACUGCUUUUCUUUGUGACGAUUAUGACGGUAGCAGAGGAAUAAGGAUCGGCUAACUCCGUGCCAGCAGCCGCGGUCAUACGGAGGAUCCAAGCGUUAUCCGGAAUUACUGGGCGUAAAGAGUUGCGUAGGUGGCAUAGUAAGCAGAUAGUGAAAGCGUGUGGCUCAACCAUAUAUACAUUAUCUGAACUGCUAAGCUUGAGGACGAGAGAGGUAGAUGGAAUUCCCAGUGUAGGAGUGAAAUCCGUAGAUAUUGGGAGGAACACCGAUGGCGUAGGCAGUCUACUGGCUCGUUCCUGACACUCAGGCACGAAAGCGUGGGUAGCAAACGGGAUUAGAUACCCCCGUAGUCC